UAGAAAUUGAAACAAAGGCCAUUGGAU
rnacentral:piRNA from 1 species